AGAGUUUGAUCAUGGCUCAGGACGAACGCUGGCGGCGUGCCUAAUACAUGCAAGUCGAGCGGACUUGUGAGAGCUUGCUCUCGCAAGUUAGCGGCGGACGGGUGAGUAACACGUGGGCAACCUGCCUGUAAGACUGGGAUAACUUCGGGAAACCGGAGCUAAUACCGGAUAAUUCUUUUCUACACAUGUAGAAAAGCUGA
rnacentral:rRNA from 1 species